GAUGAAGAACGCAGCGAAAUGCGAUAAGUAAUGUGAAUUGCAGAAUUCAGUGAAUCAUCGAAUCUUUGAACGCACAUUGCGCCCCUUGGUAUUCCGAGGGGCAUGCCUGUUCGAGCGUCAUUAUAACCCCUCAAGCUCAGCUUGGUGUUGGGGCCUGCCGCACGGGCAGCCCUUAAAAUCAGUGGCGGUGCUAUCUGGCUCUAAGCGUAGUAAUUCUUCACGCUAUAGAGUCCCGGUGGAUGCUUGCCAUUAACCCCCAAUUUUCUAUGGUUGACCUCGGAUCAGGUAGGGAUACCCGCUGAACUUAAGCAUAUCAAUAAGCGGAGGA
rnacentral:misc_RNA from 1 species